rnacentral:rRNA from 1 species
UACGUAGGGUGCGAGCGUUAAUCGGAAUUACUGGGCGUAAAGCGUGCGUAGUCGGUUAUCUAAGUCGGGUGUGAAAUCCCCGGGCUCAACCUGGGAAUUGCAUUCGAUACUGGAUAGCUAGAGUUCGGCAGAGGGAAGCGGAAUUUCGGGUGUAGCGGUGAAAUGCGUAGAUAUCCGAAGGAACAUCAGUGGCGAAAGCGGCUUCCUGGACCAGGACUGACGAUCAGGCACGAAAGCGUGGGGAGCAAACAGG